AACGCGAAGAACCUUACCAGCUUUUGACAUGCCUCGACGGUUUCCAGAGAUGGAUUCCUUCCCGCAAGGGACGGGGACACAGGUGCUGCAUGGCUGUCGUCAGCUCGUGUCGUGAGAUGUUGGGUUAAGUCCCGCAACGAGCGCAACCCUUAUCUCCAGUUGCCAUCAUUCAGUUGGGCACUCUGGCGAAACCGCCUCGGAUAACGGGGAGGAAGGUGGGGAUGACGUCAAGUCCUCAUGGCCUUUAUGUCCAGGGCUACACACGUGCUACAAUGGCCGGUAUAAACCGCUGCAAACCCGCGAGGGGGAGCUAAUCGGAAAAAGCCGGCCUCAGUUCGGAUUGCAGUCUGCAACUCGACUGCAUGAAGCUGGAAUCGCUAGUAAUCGCAGAUCAGAAUGCUGCGGUGAAUACGUUCCCGGGCCUUGUACACACCGAGACGAC
rnacentral:rRNA from 1 species